rnacentral:rRNA from 1 species
UACGUAGGGGGCAAGCGUUGUCCGGAUUUAUUGGGCGUAAAGAGCGUGUAGGCGGCCAAACAGGUCAGCUGUGAAAACUCGAGGCUCAACCUCGAGACGUCGGUUGAAACCGUUUGGCUAGAGUCCGGAAGAGGAGAGUGGAAUUCCCGGUGUAGCGGUGAAAUGCGCAGAUAUCGGGAAGAACACCCGUGGCGAAGGCGGCUCUCUGGGACGGUACUGACGCUGAGACGCGAAAGCGUGGGGAACGAACAGG